UACAUGGGGUGCAAACGUUGCUCGGAAUUAUUGGGCGUAAAGCGCACGUAGGCGGUUUGUUAAGUCGGAUGUGAAAUCCCUCGGCUCAACUGAGGAAGUGCAUCCGAAACUGGCAGGCUUGAGUACUAAAGAGGGUCGCGGAAUUCCCGGUGUAGAGGUGAAAUUCGUAGAUAUCGGGAGGAACACCGGUGGCGAAGGCGGCGACCUGGGUAGAUACUGACGCUGAGGCACGAAAGCGUGGGGAGCAAACAGG
rnacentral:rRNA from 1 species